UACGUAGGGUGCAAGCGUUGUCCGGAUUUAUUGGGCGUAAAGAGCUCGUCGGCGGUCUGUCGCGUCGGAUGUGAAAACCCGGGGCUCAACCCCGGGCCUGCAUUCGAUACGGGCAGACUAGAGUUCGGUAGGGGAGUCUGGAAUUCCUGGUGUAGCGGUGAAAUGCGCAGAUAUCAGGAGGAACACCGGUGGCGAAGGCGGGACUCUGGGCCGAUACUGACGCUGAGGAGCGAAAGCGUGGGGAGCAAACAGG
rnacentral:rRNA from 1 species